UGUCAUAACAAAUGCUUUUUUGGGAAUAGUUUCGCGCUGAUCAAUAUUAUUGUGUGACCUUUACGCGCCUUCGCCCUUCACAAAUAUGGUUGAUCAUGCGAAAUCAAUGGUAAAAAGAUCGGAACGCGUAUGGCCUGCGUAGCCGUCCUUUGAAUUACUGUCUUUCUAAACGAGGGCAACAAAGUCACUGCGUAGCAUGGGGGUAAAUACGUAGGUGGUGUUAUAUUCCUAGGAUUCAGAAAACUAGUUGGCCUCCUUCAUUUUAAACAGUUAAAUAAUAAUAAUUAAAACUUAUAACACUCGAUCACUUGAUCAAACGUGACGGUUCUAUGAUGAGUCGUAUGCAAUGAGUAGAAACUGAUUUUAUUUAAAUGGCAAAAUGCCCGGAAAGACACACCUCUCGACUCUCCCUUUUGAAAACAUUCCUGGUGUUUACUUUUUGACCGGAUGUCGAUUGUAAAGAUACAAAAAUAGACUUACAUCAUACCCGAGCGUACCCUCAUGUUCGUUUCACUGAUACCGGAAGAAAAAUAUGCUUAUUUGAGAAAACAGACGAUACAAUGUAUAAAUGAUCGAAACACCAUCUCCAAAUUACAGCUUAGGCAGAAGGACUUCCUUGUGUCACAGUCUAUAGGUUGGACUAAACAGGUCAGCAUAUGGGAACUUGCUUGCAGUUUGGUCAAUGAAUGAGACUGCUUGGUCAAGAUGAAGAGGGCCGUAAUUAUGAACACCUGUAGAAUUAACAUUAUAACUUGAACACAAAUUAUGGAAAGGAACACGCUUUGUUUUAAACAGCGACCGGGGGUUUGGAUAGAAAAAAAUACAGCCAAGUUGUAAGAAUAAGAAGGUGGUAUGAUUAGAAAAACUACAGACAAGCUGUAGAAUAACUAGGUUGCAUGCGUAGUUAAUCAAGCGGAUUUUUUUUUUUUGUCUGGCGAAGCGCUAAUGCUAAAAACAUAAGGGAAAAUAAUAUUUUCUCACAGAAGCGUAAACCCACCUCUUAUAAUUACACACCACAGGGUACCCCUCUCUCAAAGUAAGACACCACAGGCUACACAUCAUUUGUAGUGUGCUUGUAGUAAGACAUCUUAGGUACCCACCUCUUUUAAUAAGACAUCACAGGGUACCCACCUUUUAUAGUAAGGCACUUCCGUAUGAUUUGUUCUGCAGUAACCAUGUCAAGCCGACUAUCAGGAUGAACCAUUCCAACCAAUACAUAAGUACCGCCUGGACGUAAGACGCGAAUCCCCUCACUGAGUACCUGACGAACACCACAAACCUGGAACACAAGUUCAGUUCUUUUAGGUAAUAGUUGAGGUAAAAGUUAAAACUAUUAGAACGGCCUGCUUUUGCUGUAUUUUAAUUGCACAGAAUCUAGUGUCUGGCACACACAACCUGCAAGCCAGAAGGUUUUGUGUUCAAAUAUUGGAAAUCCUGUGGCGCAUAUCAAGGCCAAGGUGUACUGGUGUCCGAUGCAAACGAUUUUUUACGCUGGUGUAUUAUAAGAAAGAAAGGAAAAGAUUUCUCACCUCUAUUACAGUAUCAAUAGAGUUUUUUUCUAGAUGUUCUUGAUCUGAAAGUCAAAUGGAAAACAUCUUAUUAUUGGAUUUAUUUCAAAUAUAGAAAACAAAAAUAUCUACAAUAA